rnacentral:rRNA from 1 species
UACGUAGGGUGCAAGCGUUGUCCGGAAUUAUUGGGCGUAAAGAGCGUGUAGGCGGCCAGGUAGGUCAGCUGUGAAAACUCGAGGCUCAACCUCGAGACGCCGGUUGAAACCAUCUGGCUAGAGUCCGGAAGAGGAGAGUGGAAUUCCUGGUGUAGCGGUGAAAUGCGCAGAUAUCAGGAAGAACACCCGUGGCUAAGGCGGCUCUCUAGUACGGUACUGACGCUGAGACGCGAAAGCGUGGGGGAGCGAACAGG